AUUCAUUUGUAGUUCAUGAGCGUGAUGGUAGGGUGUUCAUGCUGUUGUGUGACAUGUGCCUUCCUCAAAUCUUGCUACAACCUCGGCACAUUACCUGUCUGACA
ensembl:snoRNA